GAGGGCACCAAGGCCGUCACCAAGUACACCAGCUCCAAGUGAGUUCGCACAACUCACUCCUACCCCAAAGGCUCUUUUCAGAGCCACCUACACUUUCAGAGCAAAGAGCUGUUGCACACGCGUCCUUCCUUUCCUGUAAGUCACUUUGGGUUGCCAGACGUGGAGAUCUGAAGCAUUCGCCUUUGGGGGAGUUUUCUGUGUGGCCCUGCCUGGUCCGCCGGUACCUAGGAAAGCAACUCCUAGAGUUCCGCGGAGAACGUCUUCUGCCUUGUUUACUUUUCCAGAGAAUGGAGAGAAAGCAGCGGAGUUUAUAAUGCAAAAGACCAGAAGUAAUCUCCUUAAUAGCAAAAUACAGCAUUGUGUUUGGUGAAAAAACAGAUACACAGAUGGUGGGCACUUCUCUUGGUAAGACUGGAGACCUUCAGUGGGGAGAAAAUCCUGUUUUACAACCACAAGAAGACCUGCCUGAGCGAAAUGGGAGGAAGAAGGAUCCCCUUGAGGAGAUAGGUACCGCAGAAAGCCCCUCCGUCAACAGAACUCCUUCCAGGCUCACUGGUAAGCCCGCCCACGUGAGGUCUACUCCGGAAAGCAGCCUCCUUCCUCUUCCAGUCGCCCUUUUCCCGUCAGGAAUCAAAAUCCCAAUCCUCCUUGGCCCGACACCCCAGACAUUCUGUCUCUUUAAUGAAACGCUCCACCUCACCCAGACAGACUUCCACUGGUAAGCCUUGUUUUUUACUUUAUCUUUGUCUCCCCUAUGUCCACCUUCCCUAUAGCUGCCAGCCCUGGUGUUUGCUGUCCUAAAAGUCAAUAAAAUUUCAUGGAAUUCCCUUCUAAGUCAGUUCUUUCACAGAUGAGAUCAAGAACCUGCGCAGGGUCCACGAGUUCUCUAAUAACAGAAGAACAUUAAAUAAAUUUGUUUUCUUCUCCUGCCUCCUACCCCGCUUUGACACAGUGUCUCGUUAGGUGUUUAUUCUCAGAAACUAAAAGCGUGCAGAAGGCCUCACCUCCUACACCGCUCCCAUGGGAGCACUGUACACGUAUUUGUGGGAAAAUCUGUCUAUCACAGAAGCAAGGGCCUGAAAUCUGCCCUUAUCCAUUAGGGUAUCUUCCUUAGCAAUGCUCCCUUCAGCAUCCGUGUAUCACAAACAGCAUGUAACGAUCAGAUAUAGCAGGCCGACUCUAGUAGGCUGCUUGCCUCUGAGAAGAAUAUCGAUGCUGUACAAAAACCCACGAGAAAUAGUAAGAAAGAAGCUGGAGCAAGAGCGAUUCGGUCAGAGGCUCGGAGCCCUUACUGCUCUUCACAAGAACCCGAGUUCGGUUCCCAGCACCCCUGGCACUUGUGACACGAUCAACCGUAAGCCCAACGCCAGGGCAUCCAACACCCACCUCUGACCCAGGACACCCACACAAGUGGUGUACGGUCACACGAGCAAACACACACGAAAAUAAAAUGAAAGACCCAACGACCAGAUGUACCGAGUAGGUUUUAUUAGGAUGCUUAUAUCUGAAGAACAUAAGGAUAAGUCUAAAACCUAAAAGAGAUUGUAAUUUAAAAGGCUGAUUACUACAGAAUGUUUUUAUCAUUCUAUAAAGUGAUUAUAGCUUGUCAAUUCACAGGAAUACCCUACAGUUUUCUAUUUCUCCAUAAGCCUUUGAGAUGAUUGUAAGUAUGCCAACUACAGUCAUAUGCAUGUAUGUGUCAUUAAAAUUGGAUCUCUAUAUCA